GAUGAACGCUGGCGGCGUGCCUAAUACAUGCAAGUCGAGCGAACAGACGAGGAGCUUGCUCCUCUGACGUUAGCGGCGGACGGGUGAGUAACACGUGGAUAACCUACCUAUAAGACUGGGAUAACUUCGGGAAACCGGAGCUAAUACCGGAUAACAUGUUGAACCGCAUGGUUCAACAGUGAAAGACGGUUUUGCUGUCACUUAUAGAUGGAUCCGCGCCGCAUUAGCUAGUUGGUAAGGUAACGGCUUACCAAGGCAACGAUGCGUAGCCGACCUGAGAGGGUGAUCGGCCACACUGGAACUGAGACACGGUCCAGACUCCUACGGGAGGCUGCAGUAGGGAAUCUUCCGCAAAGGGCGAAAGCCUGACGGAGCAACGCCGCGUGAGUGAAGAAGGUCUUCGGAUCGUAAAACUCUGUUAUUAGGGAAGAACAAAUGUGUAAGUAACUAUGCACGUCUUGACGGUACCUAAUCAGAAAGCCACGGCUAACUACGUG
rnacentral:rRNA from 1 species